rnacentral:rRNA from 1 species
CAAUAGCGUAUAUUAAAGUUGUUGCAGUUAAAAAGCUCGUAGUUGGAUUUCUGGUGGGAGCGAUCGGUCUGGCGCUUAGCGCGAGUACUUGCAUCGUCUCCGGCCAUCCUUGGGGAGUGUCUGUCUGGCAUUAGGUUGUCGGGCAGAGGAUCCUCAUCGUUUACUGUGAAAAAAUUAGAGUGUUCAAAGCAGGCUUAUGCCGUUGAAUAUAUUAGCAUGGAAUAAUAAGAUAGGACUUUGGUACUAUUUUGUUGGUUUGCGCACCACAGUAAUGAUUAAUAGGGACAGUUGGGGGUAUUCGUAUUCCGUUGUCAGAGGUGAAAUUCUUGGAUUUACGGAAGACGAACUACUGCGAAAGCAUUUACCAAGGAUGUUUUCAUUAA